CAUCAUUUUUUCCUAACGCGCCAACAGAAGUAUAACUUCAAAAACAUAUUUCUCUCACAUAUCCACGUACAAAUUCAACAAGCAUAUAACUGAUCUGUAUGCAAAAAUGAAAGUUCUAAAAUAAUAUUCAAUGAGGCCUUAUGGAAUAUGACAUGACACAUUUCAGAAAGCAACCUCAAUGGAAGCGGUUCAGCGACGGCGUAACAUCACCAGAUAUACGAAGUGCGGAGCCGGCUAGAAAACGUCAAUACUUUCAGAUAAGUAUUUUUGUAUAACGGUGUAAAAGUCCAACUAUUUUUCAGUUGUUUUUUCAUCUGUCUAUGUUAUGGAAGUAUAAAGGAUAAAACAGGCUCAAAAAAGUA